rnacentral:rRNA from 1 species
GAACGGGUGAGUAACACGUGAGCAACCUGCCCUGGACUCUGGGAUAAGCGCUGGAAACGGCGUCUAAUACUGGAUAUGAGAUGCGAUCGCAUGGUCGUGUUUGGAAAGAUUUUUCGGUCUGGGAUGGGCUCGCGGCCUAUCAGCUUGUUGGUGAGGUAAUGGCUCACCAAGGCGUCGACGGGUAGCCGGCCUGAGAGGGUGACCGGCCACACUGGGACUGAGACACGGCCCAGACUCCUACGGGAGGCAGCAGUGGGGAAUAUUGCACAAUGGGCGAAAGCCUGAUGCAGCAACGCCGCGUGAGGGAUGACGGCCUUCGGGUUGUAAACCUCUUUUGGUAGGGAAGAAGCCUUCGGGUGACGGUACCUGCAGAAAAAGCGCCGGCUAACUACGUGCCAGCAGCCGCGGUAAUACGUAGGGCGCAAGCGUUAUCCGGAAUUAUUGGGCGUAAAGAGCUCGUAGGCGGUCUGUCGCGUCUGCUGUGAAAUCCCGAGGCUCAACCUCGGGCUUGCAGUGGGUACGGGCAGACUAGAGUGCGGUAGGGGAGAUUGGAAUUCCUGGUGUAGCGGUGGAAUGCGCAGAUAUCAGGAGGAACACCGAUGGCGAAGGCAGAUCUCUGGGCCGUACUGACGCGA